ACAAUGAUACUUCCCGUAAUUCGCGAUCCGGCCAUAAGGAAGGCGGGAGGGUUAAAUUCCAAGGG
rnacentral:ncRNA from 1 species